CAGCAGCCGCGGUAAUACAGAGGGUGCGAGCGUUAAUCGGAUUUACUGGGCGUAAAGCGUGCGUAGGCGGCUUCUUAAGUCGGAUGUGAAAUCCCUGAGCUUAACUUAGGAAUUGCAUUCGAUACUGGGAAGCUAGAGUAUGGGAGAGGAUGGUAGAAUUCCAGGUGUAGCGGUGAAAUGCGUAGAGAUCUGGAUGAAUACCGAUGGCGAAGGCAGCCAUCUGGCCUAAUACUGACGCUGAGGUACGAAAGCAUGGGGAGCAAACAGGAUUAGAUACCCGCGUAGUCCCUGUCUCUUAUAC
rnacentral:rRNA from 1 species